rnacentral:rRNA from 1 species
CUGCUGCCUCCCGUAGGAGUCUGGCCGUGUCUCAGUCCCAAUGUGGCCGUCCGCCCUCUCAGGCCGGCUACUGAUCGUCGCCUUGGUGGGCCGUUACCCCGCCAACUGGCUAAUCAGACGCGGAUCCAUCGUAUACCGCCGGAGCCUUUCACACUGUCCCAUGCGGGACCGUGCGCUUAUGCGGUAUUAGCACCUGUUUCCAGGUGUUAUCCCCCUGUAUACGGCAGGUUAUCCACGCGUUACUCACCCGUCGCCA